CCAGUAUGAACAACAAAUAUUUGCUGGGAGGACCAACCCAGUAUAUCCUUAGCAUUUCAGCAAUGCUCUUAGUACAGUUUCCUGUUUUAUAAUACUGAUUAUACGAAUCUUUUUCUUGCUAUAGCUGGUAUUCCUAUUUUCUUGUAUUUAUUGGCUUAGAUAAUGUUAUGUGAACUAGAAGUUUAUGUACAUGAAAACCUUCUGUUUGUGAACUUGGAUGAUUAUUUUGGGAUGUCUGAUAUUGCCCACAACUGUCUGUUUCUGCUGCAGAGAAUGUUGGGCUGCUUAGUAAGUGGCUCCUGGGCAGCUGCAGUUUACAUUGCCAUGUUUUCAGGUGUCCUGAAAUCAGUACCGGGCUGUAAACUCCUCUGUUUUCAGAAACUGUUUGUUGGGAACCUCCUGUAUCCAUGCAGCAGGACAGCUGGGUAUCUGUGUGGUAACCUAAUUAGCUGUUCUAAUGUAAAUUAUCCUGGUUAGUUACACUGUAACGUUCACAGAAAUAUUUUGCUAAUGGGUGUGUUAACACACAUUUCCUAAAGCAUUUAGGCUUUUAAAUCACUCUGUUAUCCCUGAGCUGUUCUUCAUGUCAGCCUUGCUUGGUUUUUGUAUUCAGUUUACUCAAAGAGUUUGAUAUUUGCUGAUUUUCAAAGUGCAUAGUUUUCUAGAAAUUGUCUCUUCCCAUGUUUGUGCUGUUAGCUGCAUGUGUGUACCUCAUGGUGUCUGAAAUAUUCCUGGAUUCACAAGGUCUGAGCUUCUUGGGCUGUGCAAACACCACAGAUUUGGGUGCAUUGCCAGCUUGUGUGCCUUGUCUGGAUUUUCAGUUGAAAGAAAUUCUGAACUUUGUCAAAUAUUGCAGGAUGAUGUUUUGGCAUAGGUUUACCAUCUAAUAACUUGGUGUUACAGUUCUGCAAUAGUGCUUGGAGAUCUGUGCAGUUGUUAGCACUCUGCCCUGACAGGAAUCUUCUCAUGGGGUACAGGUUACAGGAUUAAAAGUUUGAAAGAAACAAAUGUGUACAUGGGCAGAUAUCACUACUUUCAUCACAGAUGGUUUUAAUACUUAUGCAUUGUUAUGUAUUAUUUGGUAGAAACAUCACAUAAUUUGGCUUGCAAGCUAUUAUAAUGUAUAGUGCUGGAAGGAACUGUAAAGGGCUAGUCCUUAUUUUCAGAUGGAUAAUGAUCCUAGAUUUUAAAACUGACAAACUUUUCUUCACUCAGAGAUAUGUAGCUUACUCUUACUGUGCAAGAUUUACAACAUAGCUUACUUUUAGUUUACUAUAGCAGAAAAAACCCUGAGAAAAGAAAAGCAUCAAAUAUUUGUCUGGUCUCCCAUUACAUAAAAGACAUCAGUAAAAAAUAAGAGACCUUUUACAUUCUCCAGAUCAUUGUUGUUGAAUGGUUUUAAUAAAAAUCAAAAUAAAAUGGUUGAAUCCUUUCCUUGCCUCCUUAAAUGGAGAAAGCUAAUGCAGGAAAGGAUUCAUUGAAAACCGUUUUUUAUUUUGGUCUAAAGAGCCACUGGUGAUAAUGUUUAGGCCUGCUAAUGAAUAGAUAAAGCUCCAUUUGAAGUCCAUAUCAACUUUAUUUGUUUCCAUUUCCUUAAAAUCUGAAUUUGGCUUUUAGCUUUGUAUUCUUUUAAAGCUGUUCUGAUGCUGCCUUUACAGAACUACUGUUGAAAGGAAGGUGGGAGUAUGAAAAUACAAAACUAAUUAAAUUAACAGCCAUCAAAACUCUGAACAAAAGAUGCAUCUGCUGAGGCAUGCACACAGUGACUUUGUAAUGUCUAAUACACUUCCAGAUGGCAGACUUACAUAUUUCUUCAGAAUAAUCACACAAGUGAAAUUUUAACUCCUAGCCUGCUCUGAGACUUUGAGUUACCCAUUUAAUGAGUUCUGAAGUGGAAACAGAAUGUUAAUAUCUUUCCUCAGCGUUGGAAAAUUCUCCUAAAGGAAGGUUCAAUUAUGCUUUCAAUGAGUGCUAUUGUUUAUUUACUAUGUUAGCAACCAAGUGUUGCUGUAAAAAUUGUUUAUAGCUGUAGGUGCAAGUUUAGUCAGCUUUCCGUCAGAAAUUUUAACUGAGAGAUUUGUUUCAGAGU